GUUCUAAGGGCGGUGAAGUCAGACCGGAAGGACUGGUGGAGCGCUUAGAAGUGAGAAUGCCGGUAUGAGUAGCGAAAGAAGGGUGAGAAUCCCUUCCACCGAAUAUCUAAGGUUUCCUGAGGAAGGCUCGUCCGCUCAGGGUUAGUCGGGACCUAAGCCGAGGCCGAUAGGCGUAGGCGAUGGACAACAGGUAGAGAUUCCUGUACCAGUGCUAAUUGUUUAACCGAUGGGGUGACACAGAAGGAUAGGGAAUCGCACGAAUGGAAAUGUGCGUCCAAGCAGUGAGUGUGAGAAGUAGGCAAAUCCGCUUCUCGCGAAGCAUGAGCUGUGAUGGGGAAGGAAAUUAAGUACGGAAGUUCCUGAUUUCACGCUGUCAAGAAAAGCCUCUAGGAAGAGUAGUACUGCCCGUACCGCAAACCGACACAGGUAGAUGAGGAGAGAAUCCUAAGGUGAGCGAGAGAACUCUC
rnacentral:rRNA from 1 species